rfam:Trichobilharzia regenti genome assembly, scaffold: TRE_scaffold0004065
AUCCAGCUGACGAGUCCCAAAAAUGGGACGAACUGUGCACCCUGGAU